CUAACACAUGCAAGUCGAACGAGGGCUCGGCCCUAGUGGCGCACGGGUGAGUAACGCGUGGGAACCUGCCCUGUGGUACGGAAUAACUCCGGGAAACUGGAGCUAAUACCGUAUGCGUCCUUUGGGACAAAGAUUUAUCGCCAUGGGAUGGGCCCGCGUAGGAUUAGCUUGUUGGUGGGGUAACGGCCUACCAAGGCAACGAUCCUUAGCUGGUCUGAGAGGAUGAUCAGCCACACUGGGACUGAGACACGGCCCAGACUCCUACGGGAGGCAGCAGUGGGGAAUAUUGGACAAUGGGCGCAAGCCUGAUCCAGCAAUGCCGCGUGAGUGAUGAAGGCCUUCGGGUUGUAAAGCUCUUUCGCACGCGACGAUGAUGACGGUAGCGUGAGAAGAAGCCCCGGCUAACUUCGUGCCAGCAGCCGCGGUAAUACGAAGGGGGCUAGCGUUGUUCGGAAUUACUGGGCGUAAAGGGCGCGUAGGCGGUACUUCAAGUCAGGCGUGAAAGCCCCGGGCUCAACCUGGGAACCGCGCUUGAGACUGGAGAACUAGAGUUCGGGAGAGGAUGGUGGAAUUCCCAGUGUAGAGGUGAAAUUCGUAGAUAUUGGGAAGACACCGAUGGCGAAGGCAGCCAUCUGGACCGACACUGACGCUGAGGCGC
rnacentral:rRNA from 1 species